AAGCAGCAGUGUGCAGUGGUGA
rnacentral:miRNA from 3 species